AAUAGAUACCCCGGUAGUCCACACCGUAAACGUUGGGCGCUAGGUGUGGGAUCCUUUCCACGGGUUCCGUGCCGUAGCUAACGCAUUAAGCGCCCCGCCUGGGGAGUACGGCCGCAAGGCUAAAACUCAAAGGAAUUGACGGGGGCCCGCACAAGCGGCGGAGCAUGCGGAUUAAUUCGAUGCAACGCGAAGAACCUUACCUGGGUUUGACAUACACCGGAAGCCUCUAGAGAUAGGGGUCUCUUUGAUACUGGUGUACAGGUGGUGCAUGACUGUCGUCAGCUCGUGUCGUGAGAUGUUGGGUUAAGUCCCGCAACGAGCGCAACCCUCGUUCCAUGUUGCCAGCACGUAGUGGUGGGGACUCAUGGGAGACUGCCGGGGUCAACUCGGAGGAAGGUGGGGAUGACGUCAAGUCAUCAUGCCCCUUAUGUCCAGGGCUUCACGCAUGCUACAAUGGCCGGUACAAAGGGCUGCGAUCCCGUGAGGGGGAGCGAAUCCCAAAAAGCCGGUCUCAGUUCGGAUUGGGGUCUGCAACUCGACCCC
rnacentral:rRNA from 1 species